rnacentral:rRNA from 1 species
CCUACGGGGGACAGCAGUGAGGAAUAUUGGUCAAUGGGCUAAGGCCUGAACCAGCCAAGUCGCGUGAGGGAAGACGGGCCUAUGGAUUGUAAACCUCUUUUGUCGGGGAGAAACGAGGCCACGUGUGGCCGCAGGGAGAGUACCCGAACAAAAAGCAUCGGCUAACUCUGUGCCAGCAGCCGCGGUAAUCCGGAGGGUCCGAGCGUUAUCCGGAUUUAUUGGGUUUAAAGGGAGCGUAGAUGGGUUGUUAAGUCAGUUGUGAAAGUUUGCGGCUCAACCGUAAAAUUGCAAUUGAUACUGGCAGCCUUGAGUACAGUUGAGGUAGGCGGAAUUCGUGGUGUAGCGGUGAAAUGCUUAGAUAUCACGAAGAACUCCGAUUGCGAAGGCAGCUUACUAAACUGCAACUGACAUUGAUGCUCGAAAGUGUGGGUAUCAAACAGGAUUAGAUACCCCUGUAGUC